rnacentral:lncRNA from 1 species
GUGUAAAUGUGUGCACUGAUAUUUGUCACUGAACAGCAGAAAACGUACAGAUAAGGAAUAAAUCAAUGCAAACUGUGUCAAUUUAUGCUAUACAAAGUAUUGAUCAAUCAAUCAAAUCAUGAUUGAAGUGAUCAAAUCAUGAUAAGAGAUCAAUCAAUCAAGUUUUGAUAUCAAACAAGUAAUGAAUCAAGUGCAGAUAUCGAAAAAAAAGUCCCCGUACCAUUUUUCAAACUGCCAAUCAGUCGAUCAGUCAAUCAAUCAAAUGAUUAAUCAAUCAAUGAUUGAUCAAUCAUGAUCACAAACCAUCAAUCAACCAAUCCACAUAUCGUUUACGUUGAGUUUAUGAAAGAAAAUACCUUUAAUUCUCUGUUGAACAAUCGACUUUUGCGUAUUAUUAUGUCACCCCUAUGGAAAUAGGGGUGAUAUAUUGUUAUUGUUCCGAAUUUUUCUUCCACACUUUUUGUCCAGCUUAGUUCUCGGAGAUGACUUGACAUACAUUAAUAAAACUGUACCAUAAUGACAAUCCCCAUGUACAGAUGUGCAGUUAGGGUCUGGAAUUUUCAAGAUGGCCGCCGUUACCAUGGAAACGGCAAAAAUGUGAAAAACCGAAAAAUGGUCCAAAAUAAACGAAACUUUCAGACAUUGUAACUGGUCAGGCGAAAGCGUGAAAUCCAUCUUAAAAACUUUCAAAAUGGCUACCGUUGCCAUGGAAACAGUCCAAACGUGAAAAAAACGAAAAUAAUUCCUUAAUUAAUUCAUAGUAAAUCAACCGUUACAGAUACGACCCCUAAUACUCCCCCUUUGUAACAAGAGUAUGAACUGUAGAAUUCAUUGCCGUUGGAAUUUUUGAGAUUGCUGCUGUUACCAUGGAGAAAAGGCUAAAAGUGCAAUAUUGACCCAUAUGGGAAAAAACGUCAAAGUAUCAUUUUCUUGCAAAUUUUAAGCUCAUUCCCGGUAAAAUGCUAUUGAAACGUCAUCUGUCCUUGAAAUUUUCAAAAUGGCCGUCGUUGUCAUGGAAACAGCCAAAAAAAAAAAAAAAAAAAAUCGCAACUUUCAGGCAAAAUUCUGUAAUCAUGACUAUGUGCAUACGAUCAAAUACAAAUCUGUACUGCAAAACAUCUUCUAGAAUAUGCUAGAAGAAAACUAAUAUAGAAUUUAACGUGCUUCUAUUCUAUACAUAAAUCGUGCUUUGAAGAGAGAAUCGCCACUGAGAGAGAGAGAAACACGAAGAGUACACAUAAGUGACAUUUCUGCACUUGCACUAAAGUACACAUCCGUUAAUCGAACACCUGCUACAAUAUACACAUGAGCUAAAAAUCAAUCGAUAAGCGUGUAAUUAAAUUGUACAAGAUAAGAUACAUGUAUCGUGUGAUACGCGAGUAAUUGAAGAAUAAAAUGAACAGUUAGUAUGCCGCUCCGUCAAUAUAUACACAUGUUGUCUGUCCAAGGUCCCCUCUAAAAAGAAUAGUAAUGUUCUAAGUCCACGAUAAUAUACUUCAGUAUCACGUGACACCACCUUCCUUCCUCUCCGCGUGUGUCUAAUUUAAGAUUUUAAAGAGUUCCCCAACUAUAUAUAGACAUCACUCUUAGUCUACGAGAAGAGAAAAAGGGGGGGGGGGUCAAAGGCAUGUAUACUAGACGUGUCAUCUGACUUUUGUACACUCAAACUGGUUGCUGCUACUGUGACAAUGUCCAGAACGGGGUGACAUCCUCAGCUAUUGCUUGCAAUGGCAAAUCUAGUGUUAGAAUAACUCAUUCGCCAUUCAUUUUUUCUAAUGAGAAAAGAGAAAAUAGAGUAUUUUUCUCAAUCGUACGUGUAAAUGUGUGCACUGAUAUUUGUCACUGAACAGCAGAAAACGUACAGAUAAGGAAUAAAUCAAUGCAAACUGUGUCAAUUUAUGCUAUACAAAGUAUUGAUCAAUCAAUCAAAUCAUGAUUGAAGUGAUCAAAUCAUGAUAAGAGAUCAAUCAAUCAAGUUUUGAUAUCAAACAAGUAAUGAAUCAAGUGCAGAUAUCGAAAAAAAAGUCCCCGUACCAUUUUUCAAACUGCCAAUCAGUCGAUCAAUCAAUCAAUCAAAUGAUUAAUCAAUCAAUGAUUGAUCAAUCAUGAUCACAAACCAUCAAUCAACCAAUCCACAUAUCGUUUACGUUGAGUUUAUGAAAGAAAAUACCUUUAAUUCUCUGUUGAACAAUCGACUUUUGCGUAUUAUUAUGCCUAUGGAAAUAGGGGUGAUAUAUUGUUAUUGUUCCGAAUUUUUCUUCCACACUUUUUGUCCAGCUUAGUUCUCGGAGAUGACUUGACAUACAUUAAUAAAACUGUACCAUAAUGACAAUCCCCAUGUGCAGAUGUGCAGUUAGGGUCUGGAAUUUUCAAGAUGGCCGCCGUUACCAUGGAAACGGCAAAAAUGUGAAAAACCGAAAAAUGGUCCAAAAUAAACGAAACUUUCAGACAUUGUAACUGGUCAGGCGAAAGCGUGAAAUCCAUCUUAAAAACUUUCAAAAUGGCUACCGUUGCCAUGGAAACAGUCCAAACGUGAAAAAAAACGAAAAUAAUUCCUUAAUUAAUUCAUAGUAAAUCAACCGUUACAGAUACGACCCCUAAACCUACCCCCUUUGUAACAAGAGUAUGAACUGUAGAAUUCAUUGCCGUUGGAAUUUUUGAGAUUGCUGCUGUUACCAUGGAGAAAAGGCUAAAAGUGCAAUAUUGACCCAUAUGGGAAAAAACGUCAAAGUAUCAUUUUCUUGCAAAUUUUAAGCUCAUUCCCGGUAAAAUGCUAUUGAAACGUCAUCUGUCCUUGAAAUUUUCAAAAUGGCCGUCGUUGUCAUGGAAACAGCCAAAAAAAAAAAAAAAAAAAUCGCAACUUUCAGGCAAAAUUCUGUAAUCAUGACUAUGUGCAUACGAUCAAAUACAAAUCUGUACUGCAAAACAUCUUCUAGAAUAUGCUAGAAGAAAACUAAUAUAGAAUUUAACGUGCUUCUAUUCUAUACAUAAAUCGUGCUUUGAAGAGAGAAUCGCCACUGAGAGAGAGAGAAACACGAAGAGUACACAUAAGUGACAUUUCUGCACUUGCACUAAAGUACACAUCCGUUAAUCGAACACCUGCUACAAUAUACACAUUAGCUAAAAAUCAAUCGAUAAGCGUGUAAUUAAAUUGUACAAGAUAAGAUACAUGUAUCGUGUGAUACGCGAGUAAUUGAAGAAUAAAAUGAACAGUUAGUAUGCCGCUCCGUCAAUAUAUACACAUGUUGUCUGUCCAAGGUCCCCUCUAAAAAGAAUAGUAAUGUUCUAAGUCCACGAUAAUAUACUUCAGUAUCACGUGACACCACCUAUCUUCCUCGCGCGUGUGUCUAAUUUAAGAUUUUAAAGAGUUCCCCAACUAUAUAUAGACAUCACUCUUAGUCUACGAGAAGAGAAAAAAGGGGGGGGGGUCAAAGGCAUGUAUACUAGACGUGUCAUCUGACUUUUGUACACUCAAACUGGUUGCUGCUACUGUGACAAUGUCCAGAACGGGGUGACAUCCUCAGCUAUUGCUUGCAAUGGCAAAUCUAGUGUUAGAAUAACUCAUUCGCCAUUCAUUUUUUCUAAUGAGAAAAGAGAAAAUAGAGUAUUUUUCUCAAUCGUACGUGUAAAUGUGUGCACUGAUAUUUGUCACUGAACAGCAGAAAACGUACAGAAAAGGAAUAAAUCAAUGCAAACUGUGUCAAUUUAUGCUAUACAAAGUAUUGAUCAAUCAAUCAAAUCAUGAUUGAAGUGAUCAAAUCAUGAUAAGAGAUCAAUCAAUCAAGUUUUGAUAUCAAACAAGUAAUGAAUCAAGUGCAGAUAUCGAAAAAAAAAGUCCCCGUACCAUUUUUCAAACUGCCAAUCAGUCGAUCAAUCAAUCAAUCAAAUGAUUAAUCAAUCAAUGAUUGAUCAAUCAUGAUCACAAACCAUCAAUCAACCAAUCCACAUAUCGUUUACGUUGAGUUUAUGAAAGAAAAUACCUUUAAUUCUCUGUUGAACAAUCGACUUUUGCGUAUUAUUAUGUCACCCCUAUGGAAAUAGGGGUGAUAUAUUGUUAUUGUUCCGAAUUUUUCUUCCACACUUUUUGUCCAGCUUAGUUCUCGGAGAUGACUUGACAUACAUUGAUAAAACUGUACCAUAAUGACAAUCCCCAUGUGCAGAUGUGCAGUUAGGGUCUGGAAUUUUCAAGAUGGCCGCCGUUACCAUGGAAACGGCAAAAAUGUGAAAAACCGAAAAAUGGUCCAAAAUAAACGAAACUUUCAGACAUUGUAACUCAUCAGGCGAAAGCGUGAAAUCCAUCUUAAAAACUUUCAAAAUGGCUACCGUUGCCAUGGAAACAGUCCAAACGUGAAAAAAAACGAAAAUAAUUCCUUAAUUAAUUCAUAGUAAAUCAACCGUUACAGAUACGACCCCUAAUACUCCCCCUUUGUAACAAGAGUAUGAACUGUAGAAUUCAUUGCCGUUGGAAUUUUUGAGAUUGCUGCUGUUACCAUGGAGAAAAGGCUAAAAGUGCAAUAUUGACCC